rnacentral:rRNA from 1 species
CCUACGGGAGGCAGCAGUGGGGAAUUUUCCGCAAUGGGCGAAAGCCUGACGGAGCAAUACCGCGUGAGGGAAGAAUGCCUACGGGUUGUAAACCUCUUUUAUCAGGGAGGAACAAAAUGACGUGUACCUGAUGAAUAAGCAUCGGCUAACUCUGUGCCAGCAGCCGCGGUAAGACAGAGGAUGCAAGUGUUAUCCGGAAUUACUGGGCGUAAAGCGUCUGUAGGUUGUUGAACAAGUCAACUGUUAAAUCUUGAAGCUCAACUUCAAAAUCGCAGUCGAAACUGUUUGACUAGAGUAUAGUAGAGGUAAAGGGAAUUUCCAGUGGAGCGGUGAAAUGCGUAGAUAUUGGAAAGAACACCGAUGGCGAAAGCACUUUACUGGGCUAUUACUGACACUCAGAGACGACAGCUAGGGUAGCAAAUGGGAUUAGAUACCCCAGUAGUCCUAGCCGUAAACUAUGGAUACUAGAUGUUGAACAGAUACGACCUCGUGCAGUAUUAAAGUACUAACGUACGUUAAGUACUCCCGUCCGUCGGUAGGUAGUGCGUCGCGAGAGUAAGUAACGUACGAAAGGAAAGUUAGUUACGGCGUGAGACGNGCCGACGGACGACGACGAGGGAGGUUAGG